CAUUUAGAGGAAGUAAAAGUCGUAACAAGGUUUCCGUAGGUGAACCUGCGGAAGGAUCAUUACCGAGUUCAUGCCCUUACGGGUAGAUCUCCCACCCUUUGUAUACUAUACCUUUGUUGCUUUGGCGGGCCGCCUAGCUACUGGCUUCGGCUGGUAAGUGCCCGCCAGAGGACCCAAAACCCUGAAUUAUUAGUGUCGUCUGAGUAAAAAAGUUAAUAUUUAAAACUUUCAACAACGGAUCUCUUGGCUCUGGCAUCGAUGAAGAACGCAGCGAAAUGCGAUAAGUAAUGUGAAUUGCAGAAUUCAGUGAAUCAUCGAAUCUUUGAACGCACAUUGCGCCCCUUGGUAUUCCGAGGGGCAUGCCUAUUCGAGCGUCAUUAUCACCCCUCAAGCCUAGCUUGGUGUUGGGGCUUGCUGUAAAGGCAGCCUCUAAAAUCAGUGGCAGUGCUGUCAGGCUCUAAGCGUAGUAAAUUCAUCGCUAUAGGGUCCUGGUGGAUACUCGUCAAAACCCCCCAUUUUUAAUGAUUGACCUCGGAUUAGGUAGGGAUACCCGCUGAACUUAAGCAUAUCAA
rnacentral:rRNA from 1 species